rnacentral:rRNA from 1 species
CCUACGGGAGGCAGCAGUGGGGGAAUCUUGCACAAUGGAGGAAACUCUGAUGCAGCGAUGCCGCGUGAGUGAAGAAGGCCCUUGGGUUGUAAAGCUCUUUCGUCGGGGAAGAAAAUGACUGUACCCGAAUAAGAAGGUCCGGCUAACUUCGUGCCAGCAGCCGCGGUAAUACGAAGGGACCUAGCGUAGUUCGGAAUUACUGGGCUUAAAGAGUUCGUAGGUGGUUGAAAAAGUUGGUGGUGAAAUCCCAGAGCUUAACUCUGGAACUGCCAUCAAAACUUUUCAGCUAGAGUUUGAUAGAGGAAAGCAGAAUUUCUAGUGUAGAGGUGAAAUUCGUAGAUAUUAGAAAGAAUACCAAUUGCGAAGGCAGCUUUCUGGAUCAUUACUGACACUGAGGAACGAAAGCAUGGGUAGCGAAGAGGAUUAGAUACCCUCGUAGUCCAUGCCGUAAACGAUGUGUGUUAGACGUUGGAAAUUUAUUUUCAGUGUCGCAGCGAAAGCGAUAAACACACCGCCUGGGGAGUACGACCGCAAGGUUAAAACUCAAAUGAAUUGACGG